GAUGAACGCUAGCGAUAGGCUUAACACAUGCAAGUCGAGGGGCAGCAUGGUCUUAGCUUGCUAAGGCUGAUGGCGACCGGCGCACGGGUGCGUAACGCGUAUGCAACUUGCCUCACAGAGGGGGAUAACCCGUCGAAAGACGGACUAAUACCGCGUACACUCUAUGUUGGGCAUCCAAUGUAGAGGAAAUGAAAUUCGCUGUGAGAUAGGCAUGCGUCCCAUUAGCUAGUUGGUGAGGUAACGGCUCACCAAGGCGACGAUGGGUAGGGGAACUGAGAGGUUGAACCCCCACACUGGUACUGAGACACGGACCAGACUCCUACGGGAGGCAGCAGUGAGGAAUAUUGAUCAAUGGGCGAGAGCCUGAACCAGCCAAGUCGCGUGAAGGAUGACUGUCUUAUGGAUUGUAAACUUCUUUUAUACGGGAAUAACAAGAGUCACGUGUGGCUCCCUGCAUGUACCGUAUGAAUAAGCAUCGGCUAACUCCGUG
rnacentral:rRNA from 1 species